CCAUAGGCUAACGUUACCAUCAUCUUCCUCUUUGAGAUUUCAAUCAUGGUUUUAAUUGUGAAUUUGCUACUUUAUAUAAUGUUUUUCUCAUUUUUAUAAUUGCAGGUUGGAAAGCCGGAGAACAGCUUUGUAUUCUCCACCGAAGAUUCUCGGCAAUGGAGUUCGCUGUCUCUCGAGGUCGUCCUAGAACCUCAAUAUUUUAGCAAUCGAGGAAUUUUAGAGCUUAAAUGUACAGCACUAGUGACUACUUUGUACAGAAACACAACGCAAGUGCAGCUCAAAUCAAGUAUAUCGGAGCCAAUACCAGAACGAGUGACGCUUCCUAGCCAAGCUGCACCCGGAGCGAUCGUCUCGGCCGCUCUCCUUGCUCUUCUUCUAACCACAAGCACGGUCCUCAGAUAGCUCAACUGCCACUAAAUCUUCUUGACGCUUAUUCCCGAUGUCACUACGCGCGGGUCUCAUCCAUGAAAUGGAAAAUUAGACUUGCGCUAACCGAAAAUGUCCUCAUUUAGGGGCUGUGAUCCUCAUCUAGUAUUUUGCAAAAGCACUCAACGGCCCAAGGCCUGGAUUCAUACUGCCGUGCUAAGGAAGAAAACCGUAUGAGCCUUCAGACGCUGCCAGAUUUCCUUCACUAAAAACCGAAUUUACUGGGAAAAUAUUGAAUUUUUUUUCUUCAAUUUUAUUAAGCGAUUUUGUUCGCAAUUUCGUAUAAAAUUUCUGAAAAUUUCAAGAAAAAACACGCAUAAUCGUUCUCAAAAAUACAUGUUUCAUCCGGGCAAUUUGGCAACUUUCGAAUGUUCAAAUGGCGUUCUUGCUUACCACGGCAGCAUAGUCUACGGUGAUUCCCCCUCGGAGUAAACAAACAUCGAUAAUCGAACAAAUUUGCUAAAAUCCGAGUUUAGCUUUUCGCUAUUUGUAAAACAGAGAAAUAAUAGUGUCGGAGCAUAAUUCAGCAGUCUAUUGGUGAAAAAUCUGUGCCGAACACCCUAGAUUAAAGCCAAAUGAGACUUGACGCGAAUCUUUCAGUUCGAUUUGACCAAUCGGACGCGAUAUUUCGAGUUGUCUCAUAAGGUUUUAAUUAAGGGUUUGCGGAAGAGGUUAUCACCAAGAGACUGCUGAAGUAUGCUUCUACGCUGUUGCUUCUUCUCCGUUUUUACAAAGAGCGUAGGGCUAAACUUGUAUUUUAUCGAAAUUUGUUCAACAUAUCGAUGUUUGUUCACUUCCUGGGAGGAAUCACCUUAAGCAGCUUCUCUCCUCCGGAAGCUCCACAUGAUUUACACAUACAUUGAGGGUAAGGAGGUUCGUAAAUGUCACGACUCCUCAAUGAUGCAACCGUUUAAUAGAAGAGAAAUAGAAGAAUAAUAGAGAGAAUAGAAAUAGAUCCUUGCGAGAGAUUAUAAUGAUUCGUCCCUACAGUGUUUCAUAGGUUACACGCUUUCUAGAAACUCAUUGUGAGAGGGUUUUUUCCCUAAAUACAGAUUUACUAUCUACCGGAAAAGUAAGUGGAACCAAGUAUCCAUAAUUUGCAUUGCGAGAGGAGCUAU
rnacentral:lncRNA from 1 species